AGAGCAAGGGGGAGCAUCUGAGGGAGGAGACGGGGCACGGGACUCCAACAUGAAGGAAUAGCACUAGAGCAAGGACAGUGACUUCCCUGACCCGGAGUCCCCACCAGCUAGCUGGGCCACGCUUACGGGGCACUGCAGUCCGGGGUUACCAGAACAAUUACAAUCAGGACACAGAAUUUGUAAUAUUAUUCUAUAAGUAAGUGCAGGAAAUCUGUCCUCAACACUAAAGACCUAGAAUAUUCAGCCAAAGGCCUGGAUCCCACAGCAAUGUCCUGCAUGAGUCCAGAUGAAGACCUAGAGCUCAUGACAGUGCCUCCCACAAGGACACACACCAGUCUGUUUCACAGAUCCGUGCUGGGAAGGCCCAAAGGCCCGUGGUGGAAGUCAGAAAGUCUGUGCCAAUGAGGUAAGGAGCUGUGCCAGUAGGCUAAGGGUUCUACACUGGAACUGAGAAGUGACACUCAAAAUAAGGACCAGGGCUGCCCUGGAAAAGCAUCACAGCCACCCUCAGCGACACGGAGGUCCCAAGCUCCGCAGUGAUGAGAACAGUGGAGUACAUGCCAGAAAGCCAGCAUGAUGAGCUUCUGGAGAUUAAAACUCAGCUUCCCUUCUGGAGCCAGGAAGCAAAGUAAGGACCAGAGCUCCCCUAAAGUGAACCACAGCCACUCACCAACAAGGUCCCGAGCUCCUCUGAUGACAAUGGUCAAACUCACACUGUGGAAGGAGUCAUGACGAGCUCCUCCAGGAGAACCAGCAGCUCAAACAGCAACACAGAGAAACCCACAACGCCUCACUCUUCCUCUCCACAUCUUUAUGCUGGCAACUUUCCUCAGGUGGCCAUCUACACGCAGCACCAUGCUGAUUCAAUUCAGCUGAUGUUAAGUUGACCACCAGUUUUUAAUCCAUAACACAGGUGCUCUGGCCACCCAGCCCUGGGGUGGACAGAGGGAGGAGAGGGGAGGCCUGGCAGGGCAUGGAGAGGGGCACAGAGAGGCAGCUGCCGGGCCUCCAGGGCCUCAGGGCUGGGUAGGUGGGCACAGCCACAGGCCUUCUGGGAGGCCCUUCCGGGGCUGCGCGGUUUCAGAGGGGACUUGGACUCAACCCUACACUCUGAGCACUGAGGGAGUACCUGGCCUGGGCUGGGGACUGUACCGUGUCAUUCUGUUUAAAACCCUGUGAGAGUGUACAGAAGAGGAAACUGAGGCACUGGGGUUGGCCAAUUAGGGCCUCUGAGCCGCUCUGUUUCUGCACGGCUGACAAGGUUCCCAUGGGCUGGAGCUGUGGCCCUGAUCUGGGCAGCUCGGGGAGCUCUCAGCCAUGAGCCAUCACAGGUGGGCAGGACUCUGAGUCCAGGUGCUCUGUGGGUUCCAGUCCGCUUCCCUGUGACACCAGCUGGCUCCACACAGCACUUGUGAGUACUGCCGUUGUCGUAAGUGGGAUGUAAUUCAAUGCCACAACACCAGCUGCUUAACCUGACCAUAUAGGGACACGUGGCUGACCUCUGGAAGCCUGAGACGCUCACCCCAAAGGGACCUGGGGUGACUUCGAGCCAGCUCCAGGCUUUGGUGGCUUCUCCCUUGAGCUUCACUGCCACUGUGACCAGCGUUUGGGACAAUGCCCAAUACUCCAGAGAUGGGGCGGCCACCAACAGCAGCCGUGAUGGGGAGGUCACAUGUGGCCCAGGGUCACUUCCUGGCUCCCAGGCUGAGACUGCGCCAGGCAGACAGGUCUAUGGGCCAGUCAUAAGUGCCUGCUGCAGGACGAAGGAGAUGGAGAAUGUGCAGCCCAGGCCCGUGGGCCCAGCCAUACCGCACAGCCCGGACAAGCACAGGACACGAAGGAACGAAGACAUGGGGCUCCGGCCCUGAGCCCCUCAUGCCCCAGCGAUCCUGAACUCUGCAUCUGGCUGCAUGAAGGAGAGGGCCCUGCAGACGUCACACUGAAGCCUGUAACCAGACACCUUGGUGCACACAAGUAAAAUCUUGCCACCUCCACCCAGGCCUUUGGGGGGCUGAGCUGCUGGGGACGUGGCUCAGGGAGAGUCAGGCUGGGGAGACCAGCCUGGCAGGGUCACCCCCAUACCCCACUACUGUUCACAUCUGUGCGAUGAGGAUGCAGGAGUCCCCCUCCCCCUGCCCCAUGGCACCAUUGUCCCACUGUGGCUGACACUGGCUGAGGUCUCCCUGCCUGACACAGGGCUGUGGUAGUCACUGUCAGGGCACCCCCGAGCUCUGGGGAUGCAGGCAGGGGCUGGGGCUGGGGCGGGGACCUGGGGUCUCCAGGGGCUGAGGCCCGCCCUGUGGCUGCAGGCACUGGCAGGACCACUGCUGCCCUGCUCCUCUCCGGUGGGGUAGGAAGGACAAAGGGGUGCUGAGAACCCUGUGGCCAAAGGCCAGCAUUGGAGUUGGGCUCUGGAGUGCACACCCAAAGUGUCAGGCAGCAGCUGAGAGGCAGUGGCCGUCGGGGAGGCACAGGGCUGUACACCAACUCCGACCUUCAGGCUCUGUGCCCCACUUGUCCAAUUGAGUCUGCCGAACCAACCAAAUGCUUAUCCCAUAGGAGUCAGAGGGACCCUUAGAGUCCGCCUAACCCAGCCCCACCCAAGGUUUGACCACCUGCUGUAACAUGGGGAGGAAACAAUUGAAUACUCCUGGUGACAGGCACCUCACCACCCACGCAUCUCCUACGCUUCCAUUGCUGCGUGCGAGGCCCUUCCUGAGUUGGACUAACUUGCUGGCUCCUUGGCCUCCUCCUCCCCUCCCCUCCCCCCUUCUUCUUCUCCUAUCCCCACUCCCUGGAAUGAGGUGAGCAAGUCUGCUCAUUGCCACAGGUCCUGCGUGGGGCAGUCAGUCGCUAACCCACCCCGGGACAACCCUCUCUAUCCGCCUGUGAAGUGCCGAGGGCGAUCUGAAUGACCCUUCACUUCACCCCUGCUGGGAGAGGCCCUGGUGCCGGGAGGAAGGAUGACACACUACUGCCACCUGCUGGACUAUCGCUGGGAUGCUUCUGCCUCACGCAAGCGGAAGGAGAGAGCUGUCCCACCACUGUCAAAGCCAGCGAGACUUCUGUGUUUGUGACUCUGAGGAUUGAGUCCAGGGUGUUUGCGCUGAUCUACAUCCCCAGCCCUUUUUUAUCUUUUGAGAUAGGCUCUCUCCAAAUCACUAAAUUUCCUGGGCUGGGCUCACACGAAUCCCCCUGCCUCAGCCUCGCAGAAUGCUAGGGCCGCAGCUGUGCUGCCGUGCUCAGCUUUCUCAUGAUUGUUUUUAAAGCUGCUGGGGCUCACCCACCGCCAGUUUCAGAAAGCGGCUCAUGUUGCAGAUGCUUAGCUUCUUUCUGCCUCUCUUCAUUCUCUACCCUGCCUUGGCCCCCCUGUCCAGGGCCCACUGCUCCUGGGGUGGGGGUGGGGUGGGGUGUCAGGGGCGAGGUAGGGCCGGUGUGGAGUCUGGGAGUCAGGUGGGCCUACAGAGUCAGUGGGCUUUGCAAUCUCCCACCCUAGCCACCCACAUGAGACCAGGCAGAGGCCAGUGACUCCUCCCGGGGGUUCAGCAGGAGAGAAAGGCCUGGCCCCCAUCCCAGCAGCAGGUCUCUGACGUUUCCCUCUGAGGAGGCAGGAGCCCUCAGUGGGUCCUAUACAAGGGCCGGCCUGCCUGGCCACUUCACUCGGACUCUAGCAACAGAUACCAGAUUGGCAUCAUGGGGAGCCGACCCAACACCUCACUGUGCUGUGGGUGCAGAGACUUCAGCCGUCACCUGGGUCUGGAAGCACAGCCAGAUGGAGGAGGCCUGGGGACCCCCACUCGGGUGCCCACAAUGCCCAAUGUGCCUCCUUUCCUCUGCCUGAGACCCUGAGUGCCUGGGGAGCCUGGGCGCCCCACUACACCCUGCACCCACCCUGCUGGGAGCCCCGCCCUGCUCCCAGGGACCCCUUCCUAUGCACCAUGGUGCCUGGGCCAUGACGUGGCGGGGAUUCGGUAUAACAGUUGUUAGGGACCAGAACACAGGGCCCGCUGUGUCCUCGGUAAUGGGCACCAUGGGCUGAGUGUGAGUCACAGCCUUGCCAGGCAGCCUCGCCUGUGAGGUGCAAGGGUGUGUCUGUCUGCUGCCUCUCUGGAUACCUCCAGAGACCCGAGAGGGCUAAUAAACUGCCAGCCAGUCUGCUGGCUGAAGGCUCCAACUUAGGUGGAGGAUGGGUCAGGAAAGUCCCUCGGAAGCCAUGGAUUCUCUAACCUACGUCUACCUCCAGCACUGAGCUACGGUUCUACAUUUCUAAGGCCCACAGCCACGUGUCUGCCUCUGCCCACGUGUGGCUGCCUCCCACUCAACCCUAGGGCACAGACAGCCCAGGCCUCCCCCUGCGGCCUUCAGCUGGUGCCUGGACCCCAGCCAGCCCAGUGCUGGGAUAAUGGGUUCUCCUCUCUCCAAUGGAGCCAAUUAAAAAGACAAACGAUGGCCCAUUAUCUGCCCCCCACCCCGCGGCAGCCCCUCCAGGGAACAGGCCGGGGCCUCUCUGGCAGCUCCUCUGCCUCUGGGUGCUGCAGGCGGCUCAGGAAGGGGCAGGCACGUGGAAAAGGACGCCCAUGCUUGGUCCCCCCUGAAGCACUCCACACCGAGUACCAAGCACUGCUGAGCCUCAGGGCUUGUUUUCAAGUUCUGGCCUUGGGCCGGCAGCCUUGCCAGAGGGCUGCACUGCUGAGGACCGUCUGGCUCCCUGCAAUCUGGGGACUGCAGUCCCAGGCCAGACUGCCCAGGAAAGUGAGGGCACUUUGGCCGAAGAAGCCCAGGACUAACCCAGCUCCCGUGCCAUCGAGCUCUGAAUCGCCAGAACUUGGGCUCAGGACCACCCAGGGCCCAGGCUGGCAGGUAUAGGGCCCCUGCAAGUCCCUUCCUGCUAUGGCAACCCCAAGAAAUUUAUUCCAGUUCCUCUGCACCACUCCUCUCACUUCCUAUCAAGCCUUCCUAUCUGUCUCAGAAGUAUCACCCUCAAAAGUUUUUCCUGAAAUCUAACUGAUGAGGGGAAAAAGCCUUUAUUCCCAUCACUGUCUAGUGAACUCCUACUCAUCCUUCAAGACCCAAAGCAGUUUGUUACAUCUAGUUUUUAUUAGUCCUACCAUUCUCCUACCACCUCUGCUGUACCGUAAAUAUUCUGUUCAGUUACUGGAUAUUUAGCUAGUGCCCGCCUUGUGCCAGGCACACAGUGGGAUCCAGGCAAUGUCUGCAGAAGCAGGAUGACAGCGUGCCCACGUCUUCAGAGAUGGGCUGGCAGGAGGAAAGAGACACAGAAAUGAUUUAAGCUGAUCCCCGGCAUGUGCUGCACAGUAACCAGGACAGGGCCUGCUAGUGCUUGCUGGCCUCUCCUCACACAGCUCUCAUUAGGGGCUCCCCUGGAGCCUCCUAAGGUGAAGUCUGUGGCCUCUGGGGUCCGAGUAUCUCAGACCUCAGUUUCACCAGGCCACAGAGGAUGCAGCUCCCCACUCAGUGACCAGGGCUGCCCUAGAGGAUCCCCAAGGACAGAGUUGCAGGCUUUGUGGGACCUGCAGGUACAGGGGACCCCAGGGGCUGGGAGCCGGGAGCCACCUCUGGAGGGGAGCAUUGUAGGUGACCUUCAGCUCAGCCUAGGCCCAUCGACCUUGGGGUCUCAGCGAUGGGGCUGAAAAGGAUUCAGGGAUUGGCCAGUCUGUCCCACCCGCCCUGGCCCCUCACCUUAGUCACAGCCAGCCCAAUGCUGUCAGGGAGGGAGAUCGAUGUCUGGGCCCCAGAGACUGCCCCCUGCACAGGGAGAGGCCCUGGGUUUGUGUUCCUCCUCCACUUGGUUGUUCCCUUGCUGGGGUUAACCCAGGGCUCCCCCACCCCCCUUACUGGUAUUUUGUCCUGAGGCGGGGUUUUGCUGGGAUGCUGGGCCCAGGCUGGGCUCGAACUCACUGUCCUCCUGUAGCACACACGCUGGUCAGUGGAGAGACCCAGACAGUCCCAUCCCUUCAUGGUGACUGUGUGGCACCGGGGACCCUCUCCACCUCUCCACACCCCCCAGCACCCAUGUUGCCUUCGAGCCCAGAAGCUAAGAGGCCAUCACCCCUAUCCCACCUUGUUGACAACACAAAGCCAGCACUCGCCAGAUGCCACCAGCUGCCCCCAGCCCUGUGAGUGUCCUUGUCCCUUCCCAGGGUCCCCAGUUGGGCUCUCAGAAAAGGGGCUCCAGGUCU